AUAAAGGCUAUGGGGAUGCUUAACACAUGCAAGUGAAAUGUUUUGAAACAUAGCGAACGGGUGAGUAACACGUGAAUUAUCUACCUUUUAAUUCAGAAUAAUUAUUUGUAAUAAAAAUACUGAAUAAAUAAAUUAAAGUUUUUAACGUUAAAAGAUGAGUUUGCGCAAGAUUAAUGGUAGUUGGUUGUUUAAUAGACUACCAAGCCUAUUAUCUUUAGCUGAUUUGAAAGAAUGAUCAGCCACAUUGGGACUGAGACACUGCCCAAACUUUUUUAAAGGCAGCAGUGGGGAAUUUUGGACAAUGAGCGCAAGCUUGAUCCAGCAAUACCGAGUGAGUGAUGACGGCUAAUUAGGUUGUAAAGCUCUUUCAUUAAGGAGGAAAAUGCCCGUCCUUAAAAAAGCAGUUCCGGCUACUACCCGU
rnacentral:rRNA from 1 species